UACAGAGGUCCCGAGCGUUGUUCGGAUUUAUUGGGCGUAAAGAGCUCGUAGGCGGCUUGUCGCGUCGAAUGUGAAAACUCGGGGCUCAACUCCGAGCUUGCAUUCGAUACGGGCAUGACUGGAGUUCGGCAGGGGAGACUGGAAUUCCUGGUGUAGCGGUGAAAUGCGCAGAUAUCAGGAGGAACACCGGUGGCGAAGGCGGCGAGCUGGUCUGGUACUGACGCUGAGGCGCGACAGCGUGGGGAGCAAACAGG
rnacentral:rRNA from 1 species